AUAUAACAGGGUCACAAACUCUGGUUUGGGAGAGCUGGACAUCAUUGGCCGUCCUCUCCCAGCAACUGCAGUGCUGUAUUGAUACUGGUUUUGUCUUUAUAAUAAACUCCUCUUAUACAAGCAAGCCAGUGUCACGAAGCCUCCUUCUGCAUCUACACAUCGAGGACAGCCCAGACACAACACUUUAAUUUACAGUUUUUCCAGACUAGAUGAUGGCUGUAAAAUCCUGAAGUCCAGAGGAAAAAGGAUUUGAGCUGCACAAAGAUUUCCUCUCCGCUCAGUGUCUUUCUGUUUCUCUGCAGAUGUUGUGUACCAUCUGUUAUUCCUCCAUAGUAGAGCACAGCUUACAGCAGAAAUGUGAGGUUCAGAUGGAACUAUAACAGAAGCAGAAUAUCUCUCUGUAUUUGUACCUGAGAUGUUCAGAUACCAAUUUUUCCCUCUCGAUACCAAUUCCAAAACUUGUGCUCGGUACUCGGUAUCAGCCGAGUACCGAUCCAUUACCAGUAUGUUAAAAAAUAUAUAUCAUACCAGGCCUGCAUGACUGUGAUAUGAUUUCAUUGUGGUAAGGUCUGGCUCAGGUUAAACCCUUCAUAAAAACACAAAUAAAUACAGCAAAUCCAAGCAUUUUUAAUAUAAAGUGCCGCCACAAUAUUUUUAAAUAAAAAUGGAAUUUAAACAGAAAAGUUCUUUGGUUCAGCGGUGACAAAAAAGAGCUUUCAAUCGAGGCUACAAAGCGUUUCUUUCUGCACGAGCAUGACUUAGAUCGUUGAUAUAGAGACUAAAAAAGCGGCAGAAAUAAUCUGAAUGGACAGAGAUUAUUACUGUGAGGAAUAACAUCAAUUUCCCAACAACUGUAAAUCACUGCAGAUCUAUCCUUUAACCACUAAACCUGCACAUGAGAUCCUGAUUCAAGUUUGCGCACAAGCAUUAUUCCUGGGCUAACCAACUUCAAGUUAAACUUGAAAUCCUGAAACUCCUAAUCAUAAUUUUAGCUUUUUUUUUUCUCUCCACCACAUAUUUUACACUUUAUCAUGUCAGAAGAACCUCUUAAAGAAGUCCUGCCUUCAAAUCAAGGUGUUACCCUGAUGAAACUGAUCCUGGUCUGCUCUCAGCAGCUGUACUUUCCUUCUUUUUAGAUGUUCUUCUCUUUUUUUAUGUGAAUGAGUCUGUGAGACAAACAGUAAUAUAUUGAAAACAGCUGUUGAUACUGUUUUGUGUAUAUCAGUUCUGACUGUGUGUAUCUUUGCUCGGUGUGUAAUGUGAUAUUUUUGUUUUAUUUUUUAGGCCACCAGA